GAAUGGGGUGGAUAGCAGCUGUCUUCAUCACUGUCAUCAUUGUUGGCUCACAUCAAAUCAGGACCAGAAAACCCUGUUGACUUCUGGGUCUUAAACUGCUGUAUCAGUGAGGGGCUUCCUCCUCAUACUCAUUGCCAGGAGUAGAGUAAGGCUUUUAAUUUCAUCUCUAACCAACUCUGAUAGGGCUGGAAAUGUGUAUGGAGUUCCAGACCCACCAUGGGGCCCCAGUGCUAGCUUCUUAGCCCUCCUUUGUAAGGUUUGCACUAGUCUGAUGGGAGAGGGAUUUUUUUUGUCUUGAUUCUGAAGCUCUUAAAGAAAUGCUCCUUUUUCUCCAUAACUUGAGGAUUUCACAAUUGUAUUGGAAUUAUUGGUGUUAAGGAGUUAGGUCCAUCUCUUGGCAGCUUGUGAAGGGUGGGCAGGCACCUGUGAAUUCUUCACUGGCUUCUUGUAAGAAUGACUUUACUGGAGGGUGCUGAGUUUGUGAUUAUCUCCUCUGCUGCUAGAAAACUCCGUGAACCCUGGUACAUAUAGCGUGAUAAAUCAAGUCCUGUUUUUGCUCCUAACUUGCAUUAUGGUGUUUGAUACUAUAUCUUCAUUUCUCCCAUGGUAGUAAUAACACUGUUGGAAAGAGCUCUCAGGUGGAAGUUGAAGAUCCAGGUUCUAGUUGAGGCACCAGAGUUUCCUUGGGCAAGUUGCCAUACCUUUUUGGGCCUUGGUUUCCUCAUCUCAAUAAAAUGAGUUUCUGUUC
rnacentral:lncRNA from 1 species